ACCGCGAUAGCUCAGCUGGUAGGGCAUCUGCCCGGUAUGCGGAGGGUCGCCGGUUCGAUUCCGGCUCGCGGCG
rnacentral:tRNA from 1 species